AGAAAUAUGUCUGAAAAAGAG
rnacentral:tRNA from 1 species